rnacentral:rRNA from 1 species
AUUGAACGCUGGCGGCAUGCUUUACACAUGCAAGUCGAACGGUAACAGGUUAAGCUGACGAGUGGCGAACGGGUGAGUAAUGCAUCGGAACGUGCCCGAUCGUGGGGGAUAACACUUCGAAAGAAGUGCUAAUACCGCAUACGAUCUGAGGAUGAAAGCGGGGGACCGUAAGGCCUCGCGCGAUCGGAGCGGCCGAUGUCAGAUUAGGUAGUUGGUGGGGUAAAGGCUCACCAAGCCGACGAUCUGUAGCUGGUCUGAGAGGACGACCAGCCACACUGGGACUGAGCCACGGCCCAGACUCCUACGGGAGGCAGCAGUGGGGAAUUUUGGACAAUGGGCGCAAGCCUGAUCCAGCAAUGCCGCGUGCAGGAAGAAGGCCUUCGGGUUGUAAACUGCUUUUGUACGGAGCGAAAAGGCUCCCUCUAAUACAGGGGGCUCAUGACGGUACCGUAAGAAUAAGCACCGGCUAACUACGUGCCAGCAGCCGCAGUAA